GCGACUAGGGGGCGGUGGGGGUCUCCGGGAAAACGAAGCCGUCAUCUGUGUGCCCAGGCCCACCCUGAGAUGCCCACUGGAUAGUACCCAGGGCGCCGGGCUCUCUGCUGCUGCUGUUCGUGCUGAGCCGCCUUCGCCGCCAGCGCCACGAUGAACCCGGCCGAGGGAGCAGCGGAGGAAGGGGCGCUUCCCGAUUCCGAGGUGGACGCCUUUUUCCGAACAGUUGCAUAAUGGCUGUA
rnacentral:lncRNA from 1 species